rnacentral:rRNA from 1 species
CCUACGGGAGGCAGCAGUGAGGAAUAUUGGUCAAUGGGCGCGAGCCUGAACCAGCCAAGUAGCGUGAAGGAUGACUGCCCUACGGGUUGUAAACUUCUUUUAUAAAGGAGUAAAGUGAGACACGUGUGCCUUUUUGUAUGUACUUUAUGAAUAAGGAUCGGCUAACUCCGUGCCAGCAGCCGCGGUAAUACGGAGGAUUCGAGCGUUAUCCGGAUUUAUUGGGUUUAAAGGGUGCGUAGAUGGUUCGUUAAGUCAGUUGUGAAAUUUUGGGGCUCAACCGUAAAAUUGCCAUUGAUACUGGCAGGCUAGAGUUCAGUUGAGGUAGGCGGAAUGUGUGGUGUAGCGGUGAAAUGCUUAGAGAUCACACAGAACUCCGAUUGCGAAGGCAGCCUACUAAACUGCCACUGACAUUGAGGCUCGAAAGUGUGGGUAUCAAACAGGAUUAGAUACCCGGGUAGUC